rnacentral:rRNA from 1 species
AACGAACGCUGGCGGCGUGUUUAAGACAUGCAAGUCGCACGGUGUCAUUUUGGUAGCAAUACUUGGAUGGCACAGUGGCGCACGGGUGAGUAACACGUGAAUGACAUGCCCUGCAGAGGGGGAUAGCCCAGGGAAACUUGGAUUAAUACCCCAUGGUAUCGCGAGAUUAAAGGGUGGCCGCAAGGCUGCCGCUGCGGGAUUGGUUCGCGUUCUAUCAGCUUGUUGGCGGGGUAACGGCCCACCAAGGCUACGACGGAUACCUGGUCUGAGAGGACGAUCAGGCACACUGGAACUGAGACACGGUCCAGACACCUACGGGUGGCAGCAGUCGAGAAUAAUUCACAAUGGGGGCAACCCUGAUGGUGCAACGCCGCGUGGAGGAUGAAGGUCUUCGGAUUGUAAACUCCUGUCAUCCGGGAGCAAGACCUGGGAGUUAACAGCUCACAGGGUUGAUAGUACCGGAAGAGGAAGGGACGGCUAACUUCGUGCCAGCCGCCGCCGUAACAC